UACUUUGUCCGUCGCCGAUGCCCAAGC
rnacentral:sRNA from 1 species